rnacentral:rRNA from 1 species
AUAUCAGUAAGCGGAGGAAAAGAAACUAACAAGGAUUCCCCUAGUAACGGCGAGUGAAGCGGGAAAAGCUCAAUUUUUAAAUCUCCCCCUUUCAGGGGGCGAAUUGUAAUUUAAAGACACUCUUACUGAGUCGGCGUGGGUCCAAGUCUCCUGGAACGGAGCAUCACAGAGGGUGAGAAUCCCGUUGUGGUCCAACGCUUACUCUUUACGUGGAGUUGUCGAAGAGUCGGAUAGCUUGGGAAUGCUGUCCAAAAUGGGUGGUAAAUACCAUCUAAAGCUAAAUAUUGGCGAGAGACCGAUAGCGCACAAGUA